UUUCAGUUAUAGCGCCGCAGAAGUGGACCCAAGCACGGUGACCUUUCGGAAAGCUCAUCGGUGGCUCAGUCGAUUGCUGCCCUGCUGGCUUGUACUCAGAAGGCCCGGGUUCCCUUAGUGCAUGUCCAUUUCGAGACUAGUGAAACAUUAUUAUUAUUGUUAUUAUCUGUCUGACUGAAAUACAUACACACAAAGGUUGGUAUAAUAAAACACUUUCGCCUCUCAUAUCAGCUACUUUUAAGGGCCAAAGAGGGGGUCAUUCGGGUUCUAAUGAGUGUUUCUUUACGUCCGCAGUACAGAAGAAGAGUCAAACUACUACCAGGGUCAUAAAACUACUACUAGAAAUGCCCACAACUACGAAAGCCUUGUCUAAUGUGUUCUUGGGCGACGAAAUGUCUUAAAAUACGAUCCAAAGAAUGACGAGACUAAUGCACUUGUUCAAUAUACUCCUUUACUUUCAUUUACACUUCCUUCUGCAUCCAUGUUAUUGAGGAGGAAGAGGAUCUGGAGGAGGGAAAGUAAGAGGAGGAGGAGGAGCUCAUUAAGGACUCAGUUGAUGUGCUGCCACAACUUUUACUAUGAGGGCCCGGGUUCAUCCCUAACACCAAGCAAUACACAUUUAGAGAUUUUAAACUGUUAUUGCCGUGUCACUCAUGUUCCACGAAUUUAAGCAUACAAGAAAAAGAUGAGUGGCCAACACAACACAAUCUCUCUCUCUCUCUCUCAGGGGGCUAGACUCAAACCAUUUUUUUCUUUCAUUUAUUUAUUUACUUAAUACUAAUACAAAUUUAAUCUCUUCACCAAAGUCUGAGUUCGGACAAGGAAUCUCUCUCUCUCUCUCUCUCUCUCUCUCUCUCUCUCUCUCUCUCUCUCUCUCUCUCUCUCUCAUGGAAAUACUAAUACAUUUUGAUUUUAUGUAAGGGAUAUGUGUCGUAAGCUUGAGAUGAUCUAAUUCCUGAUGCACCAAUUUUAAAGCUUCCCACAGCAGCUUAUGUCACUGUCAGCGCUGCACCAUCACUGUUUGGCUGCCCUGGGAACUGUCACUGUCUGGCUGGUACUAACACAAUGCUGUCACUGUUAACCCCUUGACUGUGGAUUUCCUACAAGAAGACAUCACCAAGCUACAGAAAUGGAACAAAAUGUGGCUGCUACAAUUCAAUGAAGAAAAAUGUAAAAUACUGCACCUUGGGAGGGGAUAUCCAGCAUACCAGUGCCACAUGGGAAACACUCCACUAUCCACCACAGAGGCAUAGAAAGACCUGGGAGUAUAUAUUAUCAGGCUACUAGUGAAAGCCAAAUCUGUGCCAAUCGCAGCGAACGUGUUAACAGUGCACUGAUUAGGGUGGGUGUCUGCAGCCAGGCAUGGACGGCAGAUUGACCUCAUGUGUGGACGUGGGAAAUUUGUCCACAUCGGGUCAAAUCUGACGCUCAAGCCUGGCUGCACCCCCCCCCACCCUGAUCAGUGACCUCCAGUGAGUGGCACGUUAGGAGCAGCCUGAUAGUGACAGUGCAAUGCUGAGUGACAAAUAAUUCUCUCUCUCUCUCUCUCUCUCUCUCUCUCUCUCUCUCUCUCUCUCUCUCUCUCUCUCUCUCUCUCUCUCUCUCAGCCACAGGUCCCACAGGAUGUCACCCCACAGGAUGUUUGCAAACCCCACAGACACAUGACCCCCGACACAUAAAUAAUUCUCUCUCUCUCUCUCUCUCUCUCAACAAUGUAAGUUAACUGAAUAAAUAUGGAGAUACAGAAAGUCUUGUUUGAAUAGAGCCGGCACAAAGGAGAGAGAAAUAUGAUAUAAAAAUAAGAGAAAAGAAGAAAGUUGGAAUAUAUCAGAAGCAUGCAGAGGACCUGAUACUAUUACUACUUCUACAACCAGCACUAUGUUACACAAUGGCUGGAAGUGGUGAAUGCUGAGCUCUGAGGGUCCGAGUUCCGAGUCCAGUUUUCAACCAUUAAUUUAAAAGAGAACCCCAAAGGUCACUCAAGGAGGAAGAGAGGAAAGGAACAAAGAGAUGGAGAAUUUUGUUACAUGGAGAUCAAAAGCAUUGGAGAUACACUAAGUCUUCUAGGAAAAUGGAGAACGAGAAUUAGUUUUUAAGUAAGAAGAUUGUCAUAAAGGAAAAGAAAGCAUUGGAGAGAUGGAGAUACUAAGAAGGUUGGUAUUCUCAAACACUUCCGCCCCUCACAACAACUAUUCCCAAAGGCUGAAAAGGAGAUCAGUCAGGCUCUAAAGGGUGGUAUUUUAAGUUCUUGUUACAGAAGAAGGGUCAAACUACCACCAGGGCCAUGAAACUACCCCUGGAAAUGCCUCCCACAACUCAUACGAAAGCCUUGACAAGUGUGUGUGCUUGGGCGCUGAAAUGUUGCAGAAUAUGACCGUUAUGUUGGUCUUGUAUGAAAAUGGGGAAGGGACGAGAAGUAGCUUUUAUGUGAGAGAAUACGAGUGGCAUGUGUUAGAUAGAAAUUAUUUAAUUGAUAUGGAAGGGAGGAGACAACUAAGAGGACAGAGUAAGAAAUUGAGAAAGGGGACUUGUUUGAAAGACACAGAAAUUCAGUUUUCCAUACAGGAGUGUGGAUACAGGGAAUGGACUUAGCAAAUACAUUGUUGAACGGGUAGUGUCCAUAUAAUGACGGAAAAGCUGGACAAAUAUAAAUUGGGAGACAGGACUGACCGAGCUUGAGCUCAGGCCCUGUAUACUACAAAUAGGUAAACACACACACACACACACACACACACACACACACACACACAGUGGUAAAGGACAUGAGAUCGGAAUGGAGAAUUGUGGAGUGGAGUGCCUCAGGGAUCGGUAUUGGCACCAAUACUUUUCCUAGUAUAUGUCAAUGACAUGCCAGAGGGAGUAAACAGUUAUAUGAGCCUGUUUGCAGACAAUGCAAAACUGCUAAGACAUAUAAGAAACAGUAAAGACUGUGAAAUUCUGCAAGAAGACCUGAAAAAGAUUUGGGAAUGGAGUAUGAAAUGGGAGAUGGAAUUCAAUGUGAAGAAAUGUCAUGUAAUGGAAAUGGGAAAGAAUGAAGGAAGACCAAAAUGGACAUAUAAAUAUUAAGGAAAGUUCAAGAAGAGAGAGAUAUGGGAGUGGCAAUACAAGAUAAUCAACAGCCUGAGAGUCAUGUUAAUCUGAUAUUCGGCGAUACGUAUAAAAUGGUGAGAAAUAUAGGAUUAGCAUUCCACUACAUGGAUAAGGAUAUGAUGAAAAAGUUAAUAACCACUAUGAUCAGACCAAAAUGGGAAUAUGCAGAGGCGGUGUGGUCUGACAACAAAAAUGGUUCCAGAGCUGGAGGGAUUGACACAUGAAGAGAGAUUAACCCGUAAAGGCCGACGAUAACCCCUGCGUCUACCCCCCACAGCCGCAUUAAUCGUCUUAAAAUCAACUCUUGCAGAAUGACAUGGAAGCAAUUUUAGCUGUUAGUAUACACAUAUAUAUAUCAGUAUGUGAAAUAUUUUUGCUUAGCUCUCCCUGAUUGCUUCAGAAUAAUCGCCGGUAGUUAGAGAUUGUGUUGGCGCGAGCAACCCUCGUUCCGAGCUGGGCUGGACUGCUGAGGUGUCAGACUCGGUCCGUUGUGCGCCCAGGGCCUUUUCCCGGUCUAUUAUGGGCCUGUUUGUUUGUUUUUGGACCCUCUGUGACAGUGGGGCAGUCGUAGAUAUAAGCCUACUCCUCAAGCCAAAUUAGCAGCGUUACCAAUGAUAGCGCAGUUUUGAUACACGUGUAAAGUAGCUGUCCCAUAUGGGACCUAUCGGCCUUUACGGGUUAAAGGAAAUGGACCUACCAACACUUGAACAAAGAAAAGAAAGGGGAGACCUAAUACAAAUUUAUAAAUUAUUGAUUAAAAUGGAAGAAGUAGAUAAUGAGGAGUUACUACUAAGAGAAGGAAUAAACAACAGGAACACAAGAGGACAUAGUAAAAAAUUGAGGAAGGGAAGAUGCUUGAGAAACAUAAAGAAAUAUAGCUUCCUGCAAAGAUAUAUAGAGGUUUGGAACAGUCUAAGUGAAGAUGUGGUAUCAGCGAAGAGUGUGCAAAACUUUUAGGAAAAGUUGGACAAAUACAGAUAUGGCGACGGGACCACACGAGCGUAAGCCCUGUAAAACUACAACUAGGUAAAUAGACACACACACACACACACACACACACACACACACACACACACACAUUAUUUCACAUUUGUUUCAGCUGUUCUUUGUGUGAGUCAGAACUUGAGUCCACGCCACCACUCAAGUGUUUUCUCUGUUGCAAGUGUCAGCCUAACUAACAUUCCUGAGAGCCACACCUUUCUUUCUUAUUUUAUUUUUCUUCUUUCUCUUUUCUAAGCACCAGUGUUGUGAAGGACAGUGUGAUGGGAUGUUCUCUUUCUCCUUCCUUCUUCACCUCUCACACUGCCUUCCGCCCUGGUCAUGCUGAAGGGACGGCCAUUUCAUCGCCUCCCUUCAAUGUUGUCUGUCUGUCUGUAUAUCAUGUUUGUUUUCCACCGCGACAAAAGUUCAAGUAUACAAAAGGUCGCGUGCACUGUUUCGUCUUCCGCUGUGAGCUCAUUAUACAUGUUUAUGCCAUUCUAAAAAUACUUGUGCUUUAUCAGACCAGAUGGCUCCAUGAAAGUGUUUGGCUGGGAGGGAGGGAGAGGAAGAGAUGGAGAAAGAAGUGUUUGUAAGAGUGGAAAGGAAGGAAAAAGAAAUGAAGGUGAUUGUUUCCACUAGUGCUUUAUGGGACCAGAUGGCUCCAUGAAACUGUUUGGCUGGAAGGGAGAGGGAGGAGGAAGUGUUUGUAAGAGUGGAGAGGAAGGAAAAAGUAAUGGUGAAGGUGAUUGUUUCCACUAGUGCUUUAUGGGACCAGAUGGCUCCAUGAAACUGUUUGGCUGGGAGGGAGGGAGAGGGGGAGAGGGAGGAGGAAGUGUUUGUAAGAGUGGAAAGGAAGGAAAAAGUAAUGAAGGCGAUUGUUUCCACUAGUGCUUUAUGGGACCAGAUGGCUCCAUAAACUGUUUGGCUGUGAGGGAGAGGGAGAGAGGGAGGAGGAAGUGUUUGUAAGAGUGGAAAGGAAGGAAAAAGUAAUUGUGAAGGCGAUUGUUUCCAUUGUCCUUUGUGUGUCUGAAUUUGAGCCCAUGCCAACACUGUGAAGGUCAGUGUAAUUCCUAUUGUAACUGUCACAGCCUAAAAUCACAAGGCACAGAUUUCUUUUUCCUUUCUUUCUUCCUCUUCUUUCUUCUUCUCCUUCACCAGUGCUACCAUUAUAAAGACUAGUAAGUGCUUCUUCUUGUCAUAACUGUCCAUUCCCUUUCCUUCAGUUUCUUCAUUUGUCUUUUUCUGUGUUUUCUCUCUUCCCUUGUAGCUGCAGAUAUCUUUCUCUUUCCUUUUUUCCUCUUCUUCCUUCUUCUCCUUCACCAGUGCCACCAUUCUGUAGACUAGUAAGUGCUUCUUCUUGUUGUAAUUGACUGUCCGUUCUCUUCCCUUCAUUACUUUGCCUUCCUUCAGCUUCUUCACAGCCCAGAAUCACAAGGCACAGAUUUCGUUUUCUUUCCUUUCUUCCUCUUCUUCUUCUCCU